GCACCAAAAGGCGAACGCCACUAUAUUAACAACCAAAUUCAAUACGGAUAAACUUUUAACCUAUUUUGAGAUAAGAGGAAUAACCCGAGGGCGCAGAACUUUGCCAGAAUUGUAUAUUUUAGACUUUGACGACACCUUCAUACUUGUCACUAGCAACAGCGACUUUAUCGACUCAUGAACACACUCAAAUGCUAUUAUAAGUGGAGCAAAGAUUACGAGUACAGAAACUAUUCCCGAAAUUGCAAUUUCAUCAAAUACCAGAAUAUCAGAAUUAAAGAAUUUGACAACUCAAAGCUCACCAAGAUCUAAAUUCGACGACAUUCUGCACCAUUUGAUGCAAGGCCAAAAGAAGAUCAAGUCUCAGGUCCCCAACAAAAUAAAAAAGAGCCUCUCUCGCAUCUGUUUGUUCAAGAAGAGCAGACAUUUAAAAUGAAGCUUUUCUAAAUAUUUCAAAACGUUCCAUCAACCUUUAUGAAAAUACUUCGAUUCACGCUGAUACUUGGGACAUGAUGAAAACGUAUUCUGACUCAAGGUUUGUUCGGGAAAUUGCUCAAAAGUUAUGGGGGAUGGAGGUUAUUCAAAGGAGAUGUUUAAAUGCUCAGAGAGCAAAUAACGAAAAGGAAAAUUCCCCUGAGGAACACAGAUUGCCUUUGACUCCUGAAAAAUUUGAAGUAGUAAAAGGUGAGAUAAUAUUCUCGAAAAUAUUAAAACAAUUACCAAGAAAAUAUGAAUUUAAUAAUAUCGAGAAAUUAAACAAUGUAAAUUGAACUUGUAAACAUUAACAAGUACUUCCAAAUUAAAAAUGAGUUACAGCCUUUAAUUUUAACUGUUUCUUUAUCUUUACAGAUUGCAAACGGAAGAAAG